CCCGGCGACCGGCGCACGGGUGAGCAACACGUAUGCAACCUGGCCGCCACAGGGGGAUAACCCGCGGAAACGCGGCCUAAUACCCCGUGACGCCACCGGAGGGCAUCCUCCGGUGGCUAAAGGAGCGAUCCGGUGGCGGAUGGGCAUGCGGCGCAUUAGCUAGACGGCGGGGUGACGGCCCACCGUGGCGACGAUGCGUAGGGGUUCUGAGAGGAAGGCCCCCCACACUGGGACUGAGACACGGCCCAGACUCCUACGGGAGGCAGCAG
rnacentral:rRNA from 1 species